AAUAAAACGAGAUCAUGAAGAUACUACUUAGCAGUAGUUAUAUACUUCUACCAUCCGUGACAAGAAGAAGAUAUAGUCUGGGCCAUAUGAAAAUAUGGAAUAACAGCGAUGUCGGCUCGUCGCAUCCUGGGGCUGGAGAAGGUCCCAAGGGUUGGGCUGUUCGCCCAUUAAAGCGGCACGUGAGCUGGGUUCAGAACGUCGCAAGACAGUUCGGUCCCUAUCUGUUGUGGGCGCAGGAAGAUUGAAGAGACCUGAUACCAGUACGAGAGGACCGUGUUGGACGAACCGCUUGUGUAUCUGUUGUGCCGCCAGGUGCAGCGCAGAGUAGCAAUGUUCGGCAGGGAUAAGCGCUGAAAGCAUCUAAGCGCGAAGCCUACUCUGAGAUGAAUCUUCCAUCCCGGCAUAGCCGGGUAAGGGUCGCAGAAGACUACUGCGUUGAUAGGCGGCAGGUGUACGUAUGGCAACAUACUCAGCCGAGCCGUACUAAUUACCCGUGAGCUUCCUUUUU
rnacentral:rRNA from 1 species